rnacentral:lncRNA from 1 species
GGUUUUUAUUAAGAUGUUGAUUUAGCUUAAAGUGUAUUUCCAAACUGUAUUUCACUCCACCAACACAAGAGAAGAUGUUACAGUCUCAUAAAUACUGCAUGCUGAGACACCCCUUUGAUUGCUCCUGGGGAGCUAGUUUGCAGUAAUUGCUCUGCUAAAGCCUGGUGUAUUGUUUGCAUAUCAGCUAGGUGAAUUCUUCAGCCCCAAUCCACUUUUCUCAGGUGGCUUCUCAUUCAUGCCUCAAACUCCAUACAAUAAUAAGGUAGCUACUCAGCAGUCACUUCUCAUUCAUUUUUACCAUGGAAUCACGAGGAAGGGUGUGCUGCCUAUGAGAAGGAAUUUCCUCACAUUCCUGGGGUCUCAGGGAAGCUGGAGAGACAGGAAGGAGAGGUUGUUUGAUCCCCCACUCCUGUGCAAUGGUGAGAAUCUGAGCCACAGGCUGGACCACAGUCCUGCUGCCACCAAUAUUAGCUACACAGAGGUUAGCAGGGUAUCAAGGGAGUUGUAUAUCUGGGCUGACCAGGGCAGGCUCUCCAAGACAGGAUCUCGCCCUCGUGUCCCAGCAAAGGUCAUUUUCUUUGAGAUGCUAUUUUUAUCCCAAACGUUAGGAAGAGAUUUUUCCUGGUCUCCCCCCACCUCCCUGUGGCCCUGGGAACUCUGAUAUUCCCAGCACCGCAGCGGGAGAGGAGCCUGCUCCUGGCAUCAGGUUUCAGGGAUUCAUGGAUGGCUGUAGGGAAGCAGUGAAGUGCUCCUGGCAGAUAAACUGUGAGCAGGGGAAGAGGCUUCUUCCCUUCUUCCUUUUCUUCCUAAUCCUGUUAUUAUCUGAUCUGUAUCCUUUAAAUAAAUAUAUGUGCCCUUGCUUCUUCCAACCCUGGAAUUGGCUAGUGAUAGCUCUUUAAUUACACUCACUGCGUGUAGACAGUAGCUGGCCUGGUAGCAAAUCGUACACCUCCACGUACAGCUCCCAGGGCUCUGGUGAAGACCCCAUCUGACCCCAAUCUCACUCAUUAUAAACAACCAUAAAUGUUGGGUUUGGGUUUUUUUUCAAAUAAUAGUGGUUACAGAAUAUGUAAUUUUGCUUUUACUGUUUGUAACUAACCCCCUCCCCAGGGCAUUUCAUAUAAAUGACACUGGUGAGCAGAAUCCCAAGAGGAAAAAAUCUGGGUUUGAUUUCCUUUUUAUAUGGAUUAUCUCUGAGGUUUUGCAUUUAUU